rnacentral:rRNA from 1 species
GUCUACGGCCAUACCACCCUGAACGUGCCCGAUCCUGUCUGAUCUCAGAAGCUAAGCAGGGUCGGGCCUGGUUAGUACUUGGAUGGGAGAAAGCCAACUCCAGGAACCACUAAAGC